rnacentral:lncRNA from 1 species
GUUCUUAUUAUAUGUCUUAUUCUGAAUUUAUAUGUUAUUGAAAUGUUUUGAAUUCGCCACCAUGACCUUACUGCUUUUUGUAACAUUUUGAUGCCAUUGCUAUAAAUUGAUUUGAAACUGUGAAUGCAGAAACGGCAUAUAAUAUACCGUUUUAUGACUAUGAAAUCCUUUUGGCAGAAUCAUUUAUACCAUAUGAUACUGUUAUCUUAUGUCCC